CGUUCUGUAAGCCUGUGAAGGUGUGUCGUGAGGCAUGCUGGAGGUAUCAGAAGUGCGAAUGCUGACAUAAGUAACGAUAAAGCGGGUGAAAAGCCCGCUCGCCGGAAGACCAAGGGUUCCUGUCCAACGUUAAUCGGGGCAGGGUGAGUCGACCCCUAAGGCGAGGCCGAAAGGCGUAGUCGAUGGGAAACGGGUUAAUAUUCCCGUACUUGGUGUUACUGCGAAGGGGGGACGGAGAAGGCUAUGUUGGCCGGGCGACGGUUGUCCCGGUUUAAGCGUGUAGGUGUGUGUUCCAGGUAAAUCCGGUUCACUUUAACACUGAGGCGUGACGACGAGGCACUACGGUGCUGAAGCAACAAAUGCCCUGCUUCCAGGAAAAGCCUCUAAGCAUCAGGUAACACGAAAUCGUACCCCAAACCGACACAGGUGGUCAGGUAGAGAAUACCAAGGCGCUUGAGAGAACUCGGGUGAAGGAACUAGGCAAAAUGGUGCCGUAACUUCGGGAGAAGGCACGCUGACACGUAGGUGAAGUGAUUUACUCAUGGAGCUGAAGUCAGUCGAAGAUACCAGCUGGCUGCAACUGUUUAUUAAAAACACAGCACUGUGCAAACACGAAAGUGGACGUAUACGGUGUGACGCCUGCCCGGUGCCGGAAGGUUAAUUGAUGGGGUCAGCG
rnacentral:rRNA from 1 species